rnacentral:rRNA from 1 species
UUGUGGUUAAAAAGCUCGUAGUUGGAUCUCGGCAGGCUUGGGGCGGUCUGCUUGCUAGUAUUACUGCCCUAUAGUCUGUAGUUUUGCCAGAGGUUUUAGGGUGCUCUUAAUCGAGUGUCCUGGGAUGCUGGCAGGUUUACUUUGAAAAAAUUAGAGUGCUCAAAGCAGGCUUUUACGCCUGAAUAUUCGUGCAUGGAAUAAUAGAAUAGGAAGUCGUUUCUAUUUUGUUGGUUUUCGGAAAUCGACUUAAUGAUUAAUAGGGACAGUCGGGGGCAUUUGUAUUCAAACGACAGAGGUGAAAUUCUUGGACCGUUUGAAGACAAACUACUGCGAAAGCAUUUGCCAAGAAUGUUUUCAUUAAUCAAGAACGAAAGUUAAAGGUUCGAAGGCGAUUAAUACCGCCCUAUUUAACCAUAAACAUGCCACUACAUCUGCGACUUUU